rnacentral:rRNA from 1 species
AUGUCCCCGCCGCCGCCGCCACCUCCUCCCCGUACUCGCCCCAUCCCGAUCCAGUCCUCUCCCACCCACCGCCGACCUCGCCGUCCUCCUCACCCACCACCGCCGACCUCGUCCCUCCCUCCCCUCUCCGCAUCUCCCGGCCACCUCUACGUCCGAGGAGAUCGAGUGAGCGCCCGAGUGCGCCCGUCCUCGCAGCCUCCUCCCAGGAUUCCCCGCACCCAAGCCCCACAAGAGGAGCUCCUCCUGUGUGUUUGUACGCCGCCGCCGGCGACCACCAGCCACAGCUUGCCGGAGCCAGCAGAUGAAGAUUCUGAACAUGCAAGCAAAUAUGCAAGAGUAAAGAAGUUCUUGCAGUAG